rnacentral:misc_RNA from 1 species
GAACUCUUCUGCAACCAGCUUGUACAUUUCUUCUCUAUUUUCAGAGGCUUAUUUAUUUGCUUGGUAAUGAAAAACUACAUGUUUAUUCAUAUUUUGCCUCGUAGAACUGCCAAUCAGAAGUGCUGCUGGUUGUAACAGUCCAAGUUAGCUCCAUAGCUGACUCCCAGUAAAUCACAGUACCUCUUGUAAAAUCCGAUCCGAUCCGCCACCGCACUGUUCGC